rnacentral:rRNA from 1 species
CCUUAGUAACGGCGAGCGAAGUGGGAACAAGCCCAGGUCUGAAAUCUCCCAGCUGGCAAUUGACACGGUUGGGCGAAUUGUGGUCUGGAGAGGCAGACUGUCCCGAUCCACUGCUGCUGAGCCCGAAGUUGACUUGGAACGGCACGCCAAAGAGGGUGAGAGCCCCGUAGGGCCCGGAAAUCGGUAGCAGCGGGACGAGGGUCUGUACUCGUAGAGUCGGGUUGUUUGGGAAUGCAGCCCUAAGUGGGUGGUAGACUCCAUCCAAGGCUAAAUACGGGCGCGAGACCGAUAGCUGACAAGUACCGUGAGGGAAAGGUGAAAAGCACUUUGAAGAGAGAGUUCAAUAGACCGUGAAACCGUUGGGAGGGAAGCUCAGGGUGUCGAGGUUGUCGUGCACUGUUCGAGUUCAGCUGGUGGUAACAGUUUUCUGUUGCUGCUGGUGCAUUCUCUUAUGGUGUUUGACCGUCAGUUGGGAAGAGACGGAGGUCUGUACCGUCAGCAGCCGGGAGGUACGCCCUGAGUUUCCGUCAGGUGCUCGGGGUGACGUACAGCCGUCCUGUUGUGGUCUCUGUCGUCUUUCAGGUGCGUUGGAUGUCUGUUCGUCCAGAAAUGGAAGGUGCAGUCUCCCGUAGUGGGGGAUCGGGCCAUUCACAAGGUUGCUCUGCGUUGUUUAGCCGUGUUCCGUUCUCUCUCCGUUCUGUCUCUGGCAGUCGGGGCAGAGUGCGGCACGUCUUGCAAUCGCCAGUGUCCCUUGAGUUUGUGUCCUGGAAUCUGUGCCGAGGUGACUGGCGAAGAGUCGUUACCCUGUGCCCCGUCUUGAAACACGGACCAAGGAGUGCAAGAGAUGCGCAAGUCGGAAGGGUUGUGUUGGGGCUCUUCCUUCGGGAAUUGUCCUGCCUGAGAGACCCAUGUGUUUGGAACGGGCGAAGUGAGAGCAAUUCAUGGGUGCGAGAGCCAUGGGGAGACCCGUGGCGCAUCGCUGGCCGAGCCAAGGUCACGCUGUGACCGGUUUCGAGUACGAGCGUAUCUGUUGCGACCCGAAAGAUGGUGAACUAUGCCUGAGGAGGGUGAAGCCAGAGGAAACUCUGGUGGAGGCCCGUAGCGGUUCUGACGUGCAAAUCGAUCGUCGCACUUGGGUAUAGGGCGAAAGACUA